AUUGAACGCUGGCGGCAGGCCUAACACAUGCAAGUCGAGCGGGGUUUUCGGACCUAGCGGCGGACGGGUGAGUAAUGCGUAGGAAGCUACCCGGUAGAGGGGGAUACCAGUUGGAAACGACUGUUAAUACCCCAUAAUGUCUACGGACCAAAGUGUGGGACCUUCGGGCCACAUGCUAUCGGAUGCGGCUACGUGGGAUUAGCUAGUUGGUGAGGUAAUGGCUCACCAAGGCGACGAUCCCUAGCUGGGUUGAGAGGAUGAUCAGCCACACUGGAACUGAGACACGGUCCAGACUCCUACGGGAGGCAGCAGUGGGGAAUAUUGGACAAUGGGCGCAAGCCUGAUCCAGCCAUGCCGCGUGUGUGAAGAAGGCCUUCGGGUUGUAAAGCACUUUCAGUAGGGAGGAAGCGUUGUGUGUUAAUAGUACACAGCGUUGACGUUACCUACAGAAGAAGCACCGGCUAACUCUGUGCCAGCCGCCGCCGUAAAAC
rnacentral:rRNA from 1 species